GAUGAACGCUGGCGGCGUGCCUAAUACAUGCAAGUCGAGCGAACAGACGAGGAGCUUGCUCCUCUGACGUUAGCGGCGGACGGGUGAGUAACACGUGGAUAACCUACCUAUAAGACUGGGAUAAUUUCGGGAAACCGGAGCUAAUACCGGAUAAUAUAUUGAACCGCAUGGUUCAAUAGUGAAAGACGGUUUUGCUGUCACUUAUAGAUGGAUCCGCGCCGCAUUAGCUAGUUGGUAAGGUAACGGCUUACCAAGGCAACGAUGCGUAGCCGACCUGAGAGAGUGAUCGGCCACACUGGAAGUGAGACGCGGUCCAGACGCCUGCGAGAGGCAGCAGUAGGGAAUCUUCCGCAAUGGGCGAAAACUUGACGGAGCAACGCCGCGUGAGUGAUGAAGGUCUUCGGAUCGUAAAACUCUGUUAUUAGGGAAGAACAAAUGUGUAAGUAACUAUGCACGUCUUGACGGUACCUAAUCAGAAAGCCACGGCUAACUACGUG
rnacentral:rRNA from 1 species